rnacentral:rRNA from 1 species
AGUGAACGCUGGCGGUAGGCCUAACACAUGCAAGUCGAACGGCAGCACAGUAAGAGCUUGCUCUUACGGGUGGCGAGUGGCGGACGGGUGAGGAAUACAUCGGAAUCUACUUUUUCGUGGGGGAUAACGUAGGGAAACUUACGCUAAUACCGCAUACGACCUACGGGUGAAAGCAGGGGAUCUUCGGACCUUGCGCGAUUGAAUGAGCCGAUGUCGGAUUAGCUAGUUGGCGGGGUAAAGGCCCACCAAGGCGACGAUCCGUAGCUGGUCUGAGAGGAUGAUCAGCCACACUGGAACUGAGACACGGUACAGACUCCUACGGGAGGCAGCAGUGGGGAAUAUUGGACAAUGGGCGAAAGCCUGAUCCAGCCAUACCGCGUGGGUGAAGAAGGCCUUCGGGUUGUAAAGCCCUUUUGUUGGGAAAGAAAAGCAGCAGGUUAAUACCCCGCUGUUCUGGCGGUACCCAAAGAAUAAGCACCGGCUAACUUCGUG